CGGACGCGCGCCUCGAUGCCUUCGGUCGUUUCACGGCUGUUGGCACGGGUCGCGUCCGUCGACGUCCGAGGACGGCGUGCACUUCUCUCUUAGUAAAUACAUCGCGACCCGUUCGAUGUCGGUCUAAGCGCCGUACGGGAGCCCCGUUGCCCCUUCGCGGGGGUAGUGGGACCGCGACGGUGGCCGACCGGCCGUCGGACGGUAGUUCUGACGAAUCGCGCACGCGUUCUACACGCGUCCGGCCCGACGCAAGUCAACGUCGUAUCAUACGUCUACGCCAUAGUGCGGACGUGUGUGCGGCGCGUCUGGUGUCGCAGCCGUGCUGUCUCGGACUGUGCGC
rnacentral:rRNA from 1 species